GGGGGAAUCUUCCACAAUGGGCGCAAGCCUGAUGGAGCAACGCCGCGUGAGUGAAGAAGGUCUUAGGAUUGUAAAGCUCUGUCCUUAGGGAAGAACCGUGGAUGUAGUAAAUGGCAUCCAUCUGACGGUACCUUUGGAGGAAGCACUGGCUAACUACGUGCCAGCAGCCGCGGUAAUACGUAGAGUGCAAGCGUUGCCCGGAAUUAUUGGGCGUAAAGGGUACGCAGGCGGAUAAUCAAGUCAAGCGUGAAAGGUGUCGGCUUAACCGACAGACUGCGUUUGAAACUGAUUAUCUUGAGUGUAACAGAGGAGAGUGGAAUUCCUAGUGUAGUGGUGAAAUACGUAGAUAUUAGGAAGAACACCAGUGGCGAAGGCGACUCUCUGGGUUAACACUGACGCUGAGGUACGAAAGCUGGGGGAGCGAACGGGAUUAGAUACCUCGGUAGUCCCAGCCGUAAACGAUGGAUACUAGGUGUUGGAGGUUCGAAUCCUUCAGUGCCGGAGUUAACGCAUUAAGUAUCCCGCCUGUGGAUUACGGUCGCAAGACUG
rnacentral:rRNA from 1 species